GUCUGUAGGGGAAGGUGUCUGUAGGGGAUGGUGUCUGUAAGGGAAGGUGUCUGUAGGGGAAGGUGUCUGUAGGGGAAGAUGUCUGUAGGGGGACGUGUGUGUCUGUAGGGGAACGUGUGUGUCUGUAGGGGAAUGUGUCUGUCUGUAAGGGAAGGUGUGUGUCUGUAGAGGAAGGUAUCUGUAGGGGAAGGUGUCUGUCUGUAGGUGAAGAUGUCUUUAGGGGAAUGUGUGUGUCUGUAGGGGAAGAUGUGUGUCUGUAGGGGAAGGUGUCUGUCUGUAGUUGAAGAUGUAUGUAGGGAAAGGUGUCUGUCGGAAGGGGAAGGUGUGUGUCUACAGGGGAAGGUGUGUGUCUGUAGGGGAAGGUGUGUGUCUAUAGGGGAAGGUGUGUGUCUGUGGGGGAAGGUGUGUGUCUGUAGGGGAAGGUGUGUGUCUGUGGGGAAGGUGUCUGUAGGGGAAGGUGUCUGUCUGUAGGGGAAGGUGUCUGUCUGUAGGGGAAGGUGUGUGUCUGUAGGGGAAGGUGUGUGUCUGUAGGGGAAGGUGUGUGUAAGUCAGGUGAGUAAUGUGAGUGGCAGCUAGCCUAUCUCUCCUCCUCCUCUGUGGUAGCUACAUCACCAUUAUCCCUCCUCUCCUCCCCCUCUGUGGUAGCUACAACACCAUUAUCCCUCCUCUCCUCCCCCUCUGAAGUAGCUACAACAUCAUUAUCCCUGCUCUCCUCCCCCUCUGUGGUAGCUACAACAUAAUUUUGCCUCCUCUCCUCCUCCUCUGAAGUAGCUACAACAUCAUUAUCCCUGCUCUCCUCCCCCUCUGUGGUAGCUACAACAUCAUUAUCCCUCCUCUCCUCCUCCUCUGUGGUAGCUACAACAUCAUUUUGCCUCCUCUCCUCCCCC
ensembl:lncRNA